UAGGGAAUAUUGGACAAUGGGGGCAACCCUGAUCCAGCCAUGCCGCGUGAGUGAAGAAGGCCCCCGGGUUGUAAAGCUCUUUUGUCCGGAAAGAAAAGCUUCGGGUUAAUACCCCGGGGUUCUGACGGUACCGGAAGAAUAAGCACCGGCUAACUUCGUGCCAGCAGCCGCGGUAAUACGAAGGGUGCAAGCGUUACUCGGAAUUACUGGGCGUAAAGCGUGCGUAGGUGGUUGUUUAAGUCUGAUGUGAAAGCCCUGGGCUCAACCUGGGAAUGGCAUUGGAAACUGGGCAGCUAGAGUGCGGUAGAGGGUAGUGGAAUUCCCGGUGUAGCAGUGAAAUGCGUAGAGAUCGGGAGGAACAUCUGUGGCGAAGGCGACUGCCUGGACCAGCACUGACACUGAGGCACGAAAGCGUGGGGAGCAAACA
rnacentral:rRNA from 1 species